UUGGAGGGCAAGUCUGGUGCCAGCAGCCGCGGUAAUUCCAGCUCCAAUAGCGUAUAUUAAAGUUGUUGCAGUUAAAAAGCUCGUAGUUGAAUUUCGGGAUCAAUUUGCUGGUCGUGCCUCUGGUACGUACUGGUAUUAUUGGUUUCUCCCUUCUGACGAACCAUGAUGUCAUUUAUUUGGUGUUGUGGGGAAUCAGGACUGUUACUUUGAAAAAUUAGAGUGUUUAAAGCAGGCUCACGCUUGAAUACAUUAGCAUGGAAUAAUGAAAUAGGACGUUUGAUUCUAUUUUGUUGGUUUCUAGGAUCGACGUAAUGAUUAAUAGGGAUAGUUGGGGGCAUUAGUAUUCAAUUGUCAGAGGUGAAAUUCUUGGAUUUAUUGAAGACUAACUACUGCGAAAGCAUUUGCCAAGGAUGUUUUCAUUAAUCAAGAACGAAAGUUAGGGGAUCGAAGACGAUCAGAUACCGUCGUAGUCUUAACCAUAAACUAUGCCGACUAGGGAUCGGAUGAUGUUAAUUUUUUAAUG
rnacentral:rRNA from 1 species